UCCACCCGAUCAUCCAUCCCCGCUGCAACCUUUGGAGCACCCGCUCGAACAAGGCGCACGAGCCGAGUUCCCCACGUCUGUCUCGGUCUGUUCGCUCUCACGUCACGCGACAAGCCCGUGUUUUUUCCGUCCCUCGCGUCUGCUCCCCCCACCUCCCCUAUCAUCACGCGGCGCUAACGAGUAGCGGCGCGGACAGGGGUUGCGUGACACUACCGGCACUGCAGCAGCACGGGAGCCAUGGCGCGGGAGGAGGAAGGACCCGCAAUGAUGGACGCCGCGGAGCGACGCCUCCGCGUGGUCUCCGCGCACCUCGAGCCGCAGGCCGGCGCCACCGCCGGCCUCGCCGCUAACCCCACCGCCGGCGAGUACGCCCACGUGCAGGGCUACAGCGUUGUUCUUCCUGAAAAGUUGCAAACUGGAAAGUGGAACGUGUACCGAUCUGCAGAGUCACCUCUGCGUUUAAUUAACAGAUUUCCUGCUACUCCAGACAUUGGAACACUGCAUGAUAAUUUUGUGUACGCAGUCGAGACUUUUACAGAUUGUAGAUAUCUGGGUACAAGAGUGUGCGCUGAUGGAGCAGUCGGAGACUACAAAUGGAUGACGUAUGGAGAAGCUAGUACGAGCAGAACUGCAAUAGGUUCUGGUCUUAUUUAUCAUGGAAUAUCUGAAGGUGCACGCAUUGGUCUGUAUUUUAUAAACAGACCUGAGUGGAUCAUAAUUGAUCAUGCUUGUGCUGCAUAUUCAUAUGUAUCUGUACCACUUUAUGAUACUCUUGGUCCAGAUGCAGUUCAGUUCAUUGUGAACCAUGCAACAGUAGAAGCUAUUUUCUGUGUGCCUCAAACGCUAAGCACUCUGCUAAGCUUCCUAACUCAAAUGCCAUGUGUUCGCCUUAUAGUGGUAGUUGGUGGAGACAAUGCAAAUACGCCAUCUACAACAGCAGCUGCUGGAGUGGAAAUCAUAACUUACUCCAGGCUACACAGCCAGGGAAAGAUGAGUUCUCAAACUUACCGUCCUCCAAAACCUGAAGAUGUUGCCACUAUCUGCUACACGAGUGGCACUACUGGCACACCAAAGGGAGCUGUUCUUUCUCACGAGAACUUAAUCGCGAAUGUUGCAGGAUCAAGCUUGGGCGUUAAGUUUUACCCCUCCGACGUGUAUAUCUCAUACCUACCUUUAGCUCACAUCUAUGAGAGAGCUAACCAAAUUGCACUGCUUCACUAUGGUGUUGCCAUUGGAUUUUACCAAGGGGAUAAUUUGAAGCUGAUGGAUGAUUUGGCUGCUUUGAGACCAACCGUAUUCGCAAGUGUUCCCCGGCUAUAUAACAGAAUUUAUUCUGCAAUCACAAAUGCUGUGAAGGAUUCUGGUGGGCUAAAAGAAAGAUUAUUCCGUACUGCGUACAAUGCCAAGAGGCAAGCGCUUGUGAAUGGACGAAAUCCUUCCCCAAUGUGGGAUAAGUUAGUAUUUAACAAAAUAAAAGCUAGGCUUGGUGGACGUGUGAGGCUUAUGACUUCAGGCGCUUCUCCAUUGUCAGCAGAUGUAAUGGAAUUCCUAAGAAUAUGCUUUGGUGGUGAGGUUCUUGAAGGCUAUGGAAUGACAGAGACAUCUUGUGUCAUCACUACAAUGGAUAUUGGUGACAAAUUAAUUGGUCAUGUUGGAUCACCAAAUCCUUCUUGUGAGGUUAAACUUGUGGAUGUCCCAGAAAUGAAUUACACUUGUGAGGAUCAACCAUAUCCUCGUGGAGAAAUCUGUGUUAGAGGACCUACAAUAUUCCGCGGUUACUAUAAAGACGAAGUCCAAACAAGGGAUGUCAUUGACAAUGAUGGCUGGUUGCACACUGGAGACAUAGGUUUGUGGCUGCCUGGAGGGCGUCUAAAAAUUAUAGAUAGGAAAAAGAACAUUUUCAAGUUGGCUCAAGGAGAAUACAUAGCUCCAGAGAAGAUUGAGAAUGUGUAUGCUAAGUGCAAGUUCAUUGCUCAAUGCUUUAUAUAUGGUGAUAGUUUCAACUCUUUUCUAGUUGCCAUUGUAGCAGUUGAACCAGAUGUUUUGAAGGCUUGGGCUGCAUCUCAAGGAAUACAAAGCGAGGACUUAAGACAGCUUUGUGUCGACCCGAGAGCAAAAGCUGCUGUCUUGGCUGACAUGGAUUCUAUUGGAAAGGAAGCACAGCUAAGAGGUUUUGAAUUUGCCAAAGCUGUUACUCUUGUUGCUGAACCUUUCACAGUAGAAAAUGGUCUCCUCACCCCCACGUUCAAGGUCAAAAGACCGCAAGCUAAGGCCUACUUCACGAAAGAGCUCGCAGAUAUGUAUGCACAACUGCGUGACGCCGAAUCAGCUAGGCAGAAGUUGUAAUUACUCGAGAAAUGUUCAGGAGUAAGGUUCAAACCAAUACAGGACAGGUUCACACAAUGGAGCAAGGAUUUCUCAUUUGCUUUAUGAGCAGGAAUACCUUUCACCCCAGGAGUGGUGUUGGGUGUGGUUAUAUUUAUAAAGGAAUAAACCGAAGGCCCCAUUAUAGAAUUUCGUUCGUUAUUUUGGUAGAAGGUAUACAAUUUAUAGGAAAACAUUCUUGAUAUAACUAUACCCAUCAACAGUUCAUGCCUUCUUGCUGCUGCAGAAGUUAUACAAAAGACUGAAGAUAUCCUAUACCUGUUCUCCUUGAUGAUUGCUGCAAUAUCUUCAAGACUGAAAAAUGAUUGUCAAGGGAGCAAUCUUCAGGAUAAAGAGCAGCCUCAGCAACCGUAGUAGGUUUUCUUCCAUAAACUGCAUGAAAAGAAGUCAUUUUGAGAGCAGUGGAAGGUGCUGUACCACCAUUACGCUAGAGAUAGCCAAUAGCACCAUUUCUUAGGCUAGUUGAAUGUCAUACAUUUGAGGUAGUUUUCAAGACAUUGGUUCACUCUCUCCGUCUGACCAUCAGUUUGUGGGUGGUAUGAAGUUCUUAAUGGAGUUAAUUCCUAGUCUCCUGAAUAGAUCUUGCCAGAGCUGGUUGGUAAAAAUCCCGCCCCUAUUAGUGGCAAUUGCACAAGGCAACCUAUGUAGUUUGAAAAUAUUGCCAAUGAAAGUAGUAGCCACUGAUCUUA